UGGUACUGAGACACGGACCAGACUCCUACGGGAGGCAGCAGUAAGGAAUAUUGCACAAUGGGCGCAAGCCUGAUCCGCCCGUGCCCCGUGCACGAAGGAGGCGCUAUGCGUUGUAAACUGCUUUUGUACCAAAGAAAAUCAUUGUACGUGUACCAUGUUAAUAGUAUGGUAAGAAUAGGCAUCGGCUAACUUCGUGCCAGCAGCCGCGGUAAUACGAAGGGAUGC
rnacentral:rRNA from 1 species